CCUACGGGGGGCUGCAGUGGGGAAUAUUGCACAAUGGGCGCAAGCCUGAUGCAGCGACGCCGCGUGAGCGAUGAAGGCCUUCGGGUCGUAAAGCUCUGUCCUAAGGGAGGAAUAAUGACGGUACCUUAGGAGGAGGCCCCGGCAAACUCCUGGCAAGCAGCGGCGGAAAUCCGUAGGGGCGAGCGUUAUCCGGAAUCACUGGGCGUAAAGGGUGCGUAGGCGGCCCCGCAAGUCAGGAGUUAAAUCCCUCGGCUCAACCGAGGUCAGCUCUUGAAACUGUAGGGCUUGGGUGCAGGAGAGGAGAGCGGAAUUCCUAGUGUAGCGGUGAAAUGCGUAGAUAUUAGGAGGAACACCAGUGGCGAAGGCGGCUCUCUGGACUGCAACUGACGCUGAGGCACGAAAGCGUGGGGAGCGAACAGGAUUAGAUACCCCGGUAGUC
rnacentral:rRNA from 1 species